rnacentral:sRNA from 1 species
CCCCCCCCCCCCCCCCCCGGAUUAGGAUUUCCAUGAUUUUCGGGAUUACUUUUUUCUCAAUAUUUUUGAGGAUUAGUCUAGCCCCCCCACUUUCAAUUUGCUUCCGACGCCAGUGGUUUGUAAUAUUUUCUAUGUUGUAAAUUACAACCAAAGAAUUACAAAUAACCUGUUCAACUGUCAGUCGAAAUGUGACGUCGCUGUGAACUUAAAGAAACGGUGAUUAAAAUCAUCGAUCACUAAAUAAAAUAUUUAACGACUGCCGAUUGGAUAAAAAGAAAGUGGGUUAUGUUCUAAAUGCAAAUGAGAAAGAAAUAAUCUUUAUAAGAAAAAUUAUCUAAAACCAGAAACAUAAAUAAUUUUAAUGAUAAUAUUGUUAUUUAUGUUUCUACAAAAAUUGAGGAUCGUCGCGUGCGUCCUUAAGUUCCCAAUUAGUCUGACGUCUCCACUGAUAGUUGUGUAUACAGAAACACUGAAUUGAAAGUAUGUAAUUAUCAUUAUACAUGUAUAUACUGACAAAAUUAUUGUAUGGUCUUUUAAGUUAAUAAAAUUGCAUUAGCAGC